CUGGCUCCCGUGCCAGCAUCUCCCAGGGGCCACCAACGGCUUCUCGCGCAGGCUGUGCCCUCUCUGCUGAGUCAAGCCGGACCUUGCUGGCGUGUGUGCUGUGGGUGCUGAAAAACGCCGAGCCGGCGCUCCUGCAGCGCUGGGCCACUGACCUGACACUCCCCCAGCUGGGACGUCUGUUGGACUUGCUGUACCUUUGCCUGGCUGCCUUUGAGUACAAGGUUUGAGGGCGUGGGCAGGAGAUGAUGGAGGAGGCAGGCUAAGGAUGCACCCAGGGCCCCAGCGUGCUGCGGGCUGAGUGGGAAAGGGUGGACUGUCUUUGUGCAGAGGACUCUGUGGGACUGAGAGGAAAGGGGUGGACUGUUUCUGUGCUGAGGCAAGGAAUAAAGUCAGAAGUGCUUUGUGAAUAGAAUUUGGAAGGUGGAGGCCGAGUGCAGUGGCUCACACCUGUAAUCCCA
rnacentral:sRNA from 1 species